UACGUAGGGGGCAAGCGUUGUCCGGAAUCAUUGGGCGUAAAGCGCGUGUAGGCGGUUCGGUAAGUCUGCUGUGAAAGUCCAGGGCUCAACCCUGGGAUGCCGGUGGAUACUGUCGGACUAGAGUACGGAAGAGGCGAGUGGAAUUCCCGGUGUAGCGGUGAAAUGCGCAGAUAUCGGGAGGAACACCAAUUGCGAAGGCAGCUCGCUGGGACGUCACUGACGCUGAGACGCGAAAAGCGUGGGGAGCAAACAGGG
rnacentral:rRNA from 1 species